ensembl:lncRNA
GAACAUUUCAACAGUGCUGGUGACAGUGAUGUGAGGCUGUCGUGCAGGAUCAAGCUUUGCAUAUUUCUUUGGAAUACCUGAGCCAAACAGGUGUGUGACGUAAGGUAGCCGAGCUGUCACACCUGUGGAGGGAUGGUUUCGGAUUGAAAGCACUGGAGGCGAUGGGAGUAAUGGUGUAUGAUGGGAAAAUGUUCUGCAGACCUGUGAGCACCAACGCUCACGGAAGAAGGGAUCAAAUGUCAAGGUGUGCCUGUGUAGAGAUUUGUGCUUUUGUACAUAUACAUUCAAAGAUGUCUUACAUAUGCUUUGUCUUUUGUCUUUGUCAGUGUUUCAUUAAACAGAAUAACGCAUGAGCUGUUGUUCUCAUUCAGAGCUUGAUUGCAGUCAUUAUUUUACCGUUGCUCUAUUCAAGCUGCAUGGAACGGGGGCUUUAACUUUGGUCUUGCAUGAGUCCACCUCGUCCAUGAUGUGUCC